rnacentral:sRNA from 1 species
UGAUGACAAUUUGGGUCCCUUACACGACU